GACGAACGCUGGCGGCGUGCCUAAUACAUGCAAGUAGGACGCACAGCCUAUACCGUAGCUUGCUACACCAUAGGCUGUGAGUUGCGAACGGGUGAGUAACGCGUAGGUAACCUGCCUAUUAGAGGGGGAUAACUAUUGGAAACGAUAGCUAAUACCGCAUAACAGUAUGUAACACAUGUUAGAUGCUUGAAAGAUGCAAUUGCAUCGCUAGUAGAUGGACCUGCGUUGUAUUAGCUAGUAGGUAGGGUAAUGGCCUACCUAGGCAACGAUACAUAGCCGACCUGAGAGGGUGAUCGGCCACACUGGGACUGAGACACGGCCCAGACUCCUACGGGAGGCAGCAGUAGGGAAUCUUCGGCAAUGGGGGGAACCCUGACCGAGCAACGCCGCGUGAGUGAAGAAGGUUUUCGGAUCGUAAAGCUCUGUUGUUAAGGAAGAACGAGUGUGAGAAUGGAAAGUUCAUACUGUGACGGUACUUAACCAGAAAGGGACGGCUAACUACGUGCCAGCAGCCGCGGUAAUACGUAGGUCCCGAGCGUUGUCCGGAUUUAUUGGGCGUAAAGCGAGCGCAGGCGGUUAGAAAAGUCUGAAGUGAAAGGCAGUGGCUCAACCAUUGUAGGCUUUGGAAACUGUUUAACUUGAGUGCAGAAGGGGAGAGUGGAAUUCCAUGUGUAGCGGUGAAAUGCGUAGAUAUAUGGAGGAACACCGGUGGCGAAAGCGGCUCUCUGGUCUGUCACUGACGCUGAGGCUCGAAAGCGUAGGGAGCGAACAGG
rnacentral:rRNA from 1 species